CCCUCCCUCUAAAAGCACUCUGUGGGGGGAACAUGGCAGCCAGACCAAAGCUCAGAGACAAGACCUAGGUUGGAUUUCAUCACAAUUAUGAACAUGCCCACAGCCUCAAAUGUUGGUAUUACAAAAAACAUGGCAAGAAAACUUCAAGUCAAAGCAGAACACCCAAUGCUGACAGUAAAAUGUUAAAGAUGUGUUGCAAAUAAACAUGCAGGUUGCCAAA